rnacentral:sRNA from 1 species
UUGGAGAUGGUAACCCUGCAAUUACCAAAGCUAAAAAAGUGUAGCCAAAUUUGAAAUACCACUGUUAUAAAUGGCCGAAAUAUCCCAAGCGAAGAGGGAGACGAAACUAAAUUUAAGCCAACAUCUUCAUUUUGUUUAUUUUUGUUGUUUUGCUUAAUGUCACUUUUUAUAUAAAUAGGCCCUUAUGGCCAUUGUUUAUUCCCUUUUUUGUUAGAACCCAAAAAUAAAGAAUAAACAACGACAACUAAACUCACUAUUUGUAAACAAACAAACCAAAUAAACGCAGCUUUUUAUUUUGCCGAAA